UACGAAGGGUGCUAGCGUUGUUCGGAAUCACUGGGCGUAAAGCGCGCGUAGGCGGCUUCACAAGUCAGAGGUGAAAUCCCAAGGCUCAACCUUGGAACUGCCUUUGAAACUGUAAAGCUAGAGUGUCGGAGGGGAUGGCGGAAUUGCUAAUGUAGAGGUGAAAUUCGUAGAUAUUAGCAGGAACACCGGUGGCGAAGGCGGCCAUCUGGACGACAACUGACGCUGAGGCGCGAAAGCGUGGGGAUCAAACAGG
rnacentral:rRNA from 1 species